rnacentral:rRNA from 1 species
AUUGAACGCUGGCGGCAUGCUUUACACAUGCAAGUCGAACGGCAGCAUAGAGAGCUUGCUCUCUGAUGGCGAGUGGCGAACGGGUGAGUAAUGCAUCGGAACGUGUCCGUUUGUGGGGGACAACUAUCCGAAAGGAUGGCUAAUACCGCAUGAGACCUGAGGGUGAAAGCCGGGGACCGCAAGGCCUGGCGCAAACGGAGCGGCCGAUGUCUGAUUAGCUAGUUGGGGAGGUAACGGCUCACCAAGGCGACGAUCAGUAGCUGGUCUGAGAGGACGACCAGCCACACUGGAACUGAGACACGGUCCAG